CUUAUUUGCUGAUUCCUUUGCAUAGGUCACUCCCAGCCCAGAGCAGCUGCACAGAUUCAAUAAAAGAAGCCUUUGCAAGGAGAUCUGAACUGCAUCGCACCAGGAGGGACAGCAAGAUGGUGUCCCGGACUCCAGUCCUCCCGGCUCUGUUGCUCUGGGUCUCUGGUGUCUGCAGUGACAUUGUGAUGACCCAGUCUCCGGGCUCCCUGGCAGUGUCUGCUGGAGAGAGCGCCACCAUCCGCUGCAAGUCCAGCCAGAGUCUUCUAUCUGGCGGUAGCAACUACUUAUCCUGGUACCAGCAGAAACCAGGACAGUCUCCCAAACUGCUCAUCUACUGGGCAUCCACGCGGGCAUCUGGGGUCCCAGACCGGUUCAGUGGCAGUGGGUCUGGGUCAGAUUUCACUCUUACCAUCAACAACCUCCAAGCAGAAGACGUGGGUAAUUAUUACAGUCAGCAUUAUUAUGAAUACCCUCCCACAGUGAUUCAGCCUCGAACAUAAACUUCCUCUCAGGGUCUCCCCAGCUGCCUACUGCCUGGGAGACAGUGCCUUGCUCUAGUGCAUGAGAGAUCGUGCAGAGCUUAGUAGGAAGUAAGGGGUGUGUGGAUCUCUUUAUUCUUUUGUUAUGAGACGCGCAUAUGGGAAAUGUAGUAAAGACCUCUGUAUUAGUUUUCUAUUUCUUAUGUAUUAAUUUAUUACAAGCACAGUGGUUUUAACAUAAGAAAUUCAUCAUUUUAACUCAUGUGAGAAAAUGUCUAGAAGGGAAAUAACGGAGUCAAUUCAGCAUCUAGUUCUAUUUUUUUGAGGAAUCUCUAUACUGAUUUCUAUAGCGGUCAUACCAAUUUACACUCCUCCCAACAGUGGAACCUUUUCCCUACAGACUCACUAGCAUUUGUUGGAGAGAUUCCUUGAUAAUAGCCAUUCUUUCUGGAGUGAAAUGGAAUUUC